rnacentral:rRNA from 1 species
GUUAAAAAGCUCGUAGUUGGAUUUCUGCGGGGGCGGGGCGGCCGGAUGCUUAUAGCAUCUCGAGCUAGCACUUCCCCCGCAUCCUGCCGCGAACCGUGCUACCAUUAGUUUGGUGGCGCUGGGGAUCGGCUCGUUUACUUUGAGAAAAAUAGAGUGUUCAAAGCAGGCCACACGCCUUGAAUAGUUAGCAUGGAAUAAUGAUAAAGGACUUCGGUUCUAUUUUGUUGGUGUUCGGGACUGAAGUAAUGAUUGAUAGGGACAGUUGGGGCGGUCAGUAUUCCAAAGCGAGAGGUGAAAUUCUUAGACCUUCGGAAGACUAACAGCUGCGAAAGCGUUCCGCAAGGAUGUUCCCUUUGAUCAAGAACGAAAGUUGGGGGAUCGAAGACGAUCUGAUACCGUCGUAGUCUCAACUAUAAACUAUACCAGCUAGGGAUCGGCCGACGUUUACUUAUAUCGACUCGGUCGGCACCUUAUGAGAAAUCAAAGCAUCUGGGUUCCGGGGGGAGUAUGGUC